GUCCGUAGCAGGGGUAUAAUUAUAAAUUGAAAACGAAAGUAGAAAGGUUGUGCAGCUGUCUGCAAAAAAACAUGGCGAUGCUCAUUGUGUCCACGUGGAAGACAGAAGUUACGUACAUAAUAGAUUCGAUUUACAAGAAAUGACUGAAUUAUGUUCGUAACAAUGACACAAAGAUCCAAGACUCAAAAUAGAAGACCCAGGAUAUUUAGCAAUCCAUCUGACAAUUUACUUGUCUGCAUUAAUUCUCUUUGAAAACUAGUCUAUUAUUAAGCUUUGAAAUGAAAUAUUAAAAGUAUUAAAGACAA